AUGUUGUUGUGGCUGUAGAUUUUGUUGGGCAUCCAGGAGCUCCUUAAUGAGCCAAACAUUCAGGACCCAGCGCAGGCGGAGGCCUAUACGAUAUACUGUCAAAACAGGAUGGACUAUGAAAAGCGUGUGAGGGCACAAGCUAAGAGAUUCGCUCCGACAUAGAGCGGCUUGUGCACAAUCUAAAAAAUUCUGCACAGAUGCCAUUCUGAUGCUCCAGAAUCCUUCACCACUCAAAGAAAACCCCAAAACUGCAGUUGUGAGUUGAAAUAAAGAUUUGUUCAAGUUGGCUUCAGCACAGAACUGAAUGAGAAUGGGUGCAAAACAAUUCUAAAUUGAAAGCAACCAAGACAAGUUAAUGUUGGCUGCUGAUCAUUGACCGGUGUUUUAUAUAGUGAUGGUGAAGGUUUUGUUUCAU